rnacentral:rRNA from 1 species
CGUAUAGUACCGUGAGGGAAAGGUGAAAAGAACCCCGGGAGGGGAGUGAAAUAGAACCUGAAACCCUGCACUUACAAGCUGUGGAAGCACAUUUCUUGUGUGACCGCGUACUUUUUGUAGAACGGGCCAACGAGUUACGUUAAGUAGCAAGGUUAAGCACUUAAGGUGCGGAGCCGUAGCGAAAGCGAGUUUUAACUGAGCGUUCAGUUACUUGACGUAGACCCGAAACCGGGCGACCUACCCAUGAGCAGGAUGAAGCGAAAGUAAAAUUUCGUGGAGGUCCGAACCCACGAGCGUUGAAAAGCUCGGGGAUGACUUGUGGGUAGCGGUGAAAUUCCAAUCGAGCCCGGAGAUAGCUGGUUCUCCCCGAAAUAGCUUUAGGGCUAGCCUCAAGGUGAGAGAUACGGAGGUAGAGCACUGAAUGUCCUAGGGGGUAUUGCACCU